AUUGAACGCUGGCGGCAUGCUUUACACAUGCAAGUCGAGCGGCAGCGCGGGGGCAACCCUGGCGGCGAGCGGCGAACGGGUGAGGAAUACAUCGGAACGUGCCCCGGAGUGGGGGAUAACGCCGCGAAAGCGGCGCUAAUACCGCAUAUGCUCUGAGGAGGAAAGCGGGGGACCUGCAAGGGCCUCGCGCUCUGGGAGCGGCCGAUGUCCGAUUAGCGAGUUGGUGGGGUAAAGGCCUACCAAGGCGACGAUCGGUAGCUGGUCUGAGAGGAUGAUCAGCCACACUGGGACUGAGACACGGCCCAGACUCCUACGGGAGGCAGCAGUGGGGAAUUUUGGACAAUGGGGGCAACCCUGAUCCAGCCAUGCCGCGUGCGAGAAGAAGGCCUUCGGGUUGUAAACCGCUUUUAGCCGGGAAGAAAAGGCGUCCACUAACACUGGGCGUUCUUGACGGUACCGACGGAAUAAGCACCGGCUAACUACGUGCCAGCCGCCGCGGUAACAC
rnacentral:rRNA from 1 species